UACGUAGGGGGCAAGCGUUGUCCGGAUUUAUUGGGCGUAAAGAGCGUGUAGGCGGCCAGAUAGGUCCGUUGUGAAAACUCGAGGCUCAACCUCGAGACGCCGAUGGAAACCAUCUGGCUAGAGUCCGGAAGAGGAGAGUGGAAUUCCCGGUGUAGCGGUGAAAUGCGCAGAUAUCGGGAAGAACACCCGUGGUUAAGGCGGCUCUCUAGUACGGUACUGACGCUGAGACGCGAAAGCGUGGGGAGCGAACAGG
rnacentral:rRNA from 1 species